rnacentral:rRNA from 1 species
UGGGGAAUUUUGGACAAUGGGCGCAAGCCUGAUCCAGCCAUGCCGCGUGCGGGAAGAAGGCCUUCGGGUUGUAAACCGCUUUUGUCAGGGAAGAAAUCUUCUGAGUUAAUACCUCGGGAGGAUGACGGUACCUGAAGAAUAAGCACCGGCUAACUACGUGCCAGCAGCCGCGGUAAUACGUAGGGUGCAAGCGUUAAUCGGAAUUACUGGGCGUAAAGCGUGCGCAGGCGGUUUUGUAAGACAGAGGUGAAAUCCCCGGGCUCAACCUGGGAACUGCCUUUGUGACUGCAAGGCUUGAGUGCGGCAGAGGGGGGAUGGAAUUCCGCGUGUAGCAGUGAAAUUGCGUAGAUAUGCGGAGGAAACACCGAUGGCGAAGGCAAUCCCCUGGGCCUGCACUGACGCUCAUGCACGAAAGCGUGGGGAGCAAAACAGGAUUAGAUACCCUGGUAGUCCACGCCCUAAACGAUGUCAACUGGUUGUUGGGAAGGUUCCCUUCUCAGUAACGUAGCUAACGCGUGAAGUUGACCCGCCUGGGGAGUACGGCCGCAAGGUU